rnacentral:misc_RNA from 1 species
CGCAGCCGCGGUAAUUCCAGCUCCAAUAGCGUAUAUUAAAGUUGUUGCAGUUAAAAGCUCGUAGUUGAAUUUCGGGGUUAGUAGGUUGGUCAUGCCUCUGGUAUGUACUGGUCUCACUGAUUCCUCCUUCCUGAUGAGCCGUAAUGCCAUUAAUUUGGUGUUGCGGGGAAUUUGGACUGUUACUUUGAAAAAUUAGAGUGUUUAAAGCAAGCUAACGCUUGAAUACAUUAGCAUGGAAUAAUGAAAUAGGACGUUCGAUCCUAUUUUGUUGGUUUCUAGGAUUGACGUAAUGAUUAAUAGGGAUAGUUGGGGGCAUUAGUAUUCAAUUGUCAGAGGUGAAAUUCUUGGAUUUAUUGAAGACUAACUACUGCGAAAGCAUUUGCCAAGGAUGUUUUCAUUAAUCAAGAACGAAAGUUAGGGGAUCGAAGACGAUCAGAUACCGUCGUAGUCUUAACCAUAAACUAUGCCGACUAGGGAUCGGAUGAUGUUAAAUUUUUUAAUGACUCAUUCGGCGCCUUAA